UCAAUUGUGUGUCUUUAAUGAGCCCAGAAAUUUUCAUAAUUAUCCUUUUUUUUCCAAAGACAUAAUUAUAGGUUGGAGUACAUGCUACAGACAAGACAUUUAAAUAGAGCUUUUUACACACUUAAGCAUUCUGCCUCUCCCUUCAAAAAAACAUUUUGAAGAGGGUUCCCAAUUAUCCUUCCCCUGCCUUUCUUCCUCUGAGUAAACACGGGGAGGUAAGAUGGUCAUUGUCCCUUGGCAGUGAGUGUCCUAUGCUGGCUAGAGUACCCAGCCCAAAACUGUCUCCCCUGUGCCUCUACUGAGCACAGAGACUGGCAGGUGGAGGUGGCAGGGGUGACUUAGAGUUCUGUCCUGUAUGGGAAGCCCAGGUUAACCAGAAGCAGUCUUGGUGUCUCUGAUGGGGACAAGGCAAUGAAUGUGUUGAGCUCUGAUUGGUGCUGCCAUCAGAAUCUGUACCCAGUGAUAACCCAGGACCUCAUUAGUUCCAUGGUUUGAGUUUGAACUGGCAGGUUUAAGGGUCUGAGACAGGGGGUUGGGGAUUUAGCUCAGUGGUAGAGCGCUUGCCUAGGAAGCGCAAGGCCCUGGGUUCGGUCCCCAACUCCGAAAAAAAAGAACCAAAAAAAAAAAAAAAAAGGGUCUGAGACAGGACAGAGAGACUGAAGACAUGGGUCUGACUGAGACAAGGGGUUUGGGCUGUAAAGCACAUAAACUGCUCUGACACAUCCUGCUUCUCCAAGCUCUCUCUUGCUGACUGACUAAAACUGUCCCCCACCCCAUUUCUAGAGCUGCUGGGAAUGUGUUUACUUCUAAGCCCAAUAACCAGUGUUCUGGGGAGAAGUUUGAGGAAAGAGCAAAGUCACAUGGGCCAGCUUCAGAGGAGAGGCUCCAGGGACCUCUGUCCUCCAGCUGGAGUCCAACAGGAAACACAGAUGCCUCCGGCACAAGUAGUUGGAAGAAGGUGCCGGCCCAGCUGCCCAAGGUGUGGGGCCAGCCAGAGAGAGGUCCUGUGGGUGGAGAGUGUCCACUCAUGUCCAGCAGAGGCUCCGGGGAAAGGGCAAGGCAGUUCAGGCAAGAAUUUGACAUACCAGCUGCAGGGAGACUGUCCCCAUUACAGACCAGCACCCUGCAAAAACCUUCUGGAAAGCUCAGGAAAGGAAAGGGAUCCUCUGGCUUGCGAGUUUUACCAAAGACCAUUUCACAGUAGCAUACUGAUUGACAACACAUUUUUUGUUGGCUAAAAGCCUUACCCUCGUGUACAUCUUGAGUUCCUGGGAGAGAGAGGGUCUGACAAUAAGCAAAGAAAAGAUAUGAGACGAUACCAGAUUAAGUAGGAGAGAGCGUGAUUCUGUGGGGGAAGGCUUCCGUGUGGAGGAAUUUUUGAGCUGACCCACCCAUGACAUCAGCAUCUCCCCCAACAAGACCCUAAGGGAGAGGGACAGGCUGGUUUACCCACCCAAGGCUAGAGCAAAGAAGGGCUCUGCAGAGCAGGAAGAUGCCAACCAUGACGAUGGCGGUGAAAACAGGCAGGUCUGCGGCUGUCAGCUCAUAGCCCCGGACCCCAUCUUGUGAGAACUUGGAAAUUCACAACAGCGAGGGCCCAGGAGACGCCUGGCGAGCUCGGUUCUGAAUCAUUCUAUUGUCUGAGCGGAAGUCCAGCCCGGCAAAGUAAUGGAAGGACACUCCUCGUCUCAAUUUUGUUCAUAGAUGUCUCCAGCAACCAUUUCACAUCUCUAACCACACAGGCGUCCGAGCUGGUGGGCGGGCCUUAUCCUCACCGAACGUAUGAGAAAGGCCACUCCGGUAGUUUCUGUCUCUGCAGCCUCCCCCGCCCUGCCUGUGUGGGUGGACACAUCUGUGGACGCAGCACUUCAAUAAAAAGCCUUCGCACGGCACACGAGGCCGCCCAGGAGACGCGGCGCGUUUCAUCCAACUGCCAAGAAUCUUCUUUAAAGUCUCCCCUGCCUUGUUGAGGGGCCAGCCACUCGCUCGGGCCGCUGUUGUUAUGGCUGUCUCGCUUCCUGAGACACACUGUCCGGGAACAGACACCCCUGGCAAGCUGCAAAGGUGAGAUGGUGGCCCGAGGUUCACCGGCCCUACUCUCCAAACAGCUUUCAAGUGACUCUCUGUGACCGCUCCGUGUGGAGGUGUUUUUCUAGAACGUUCUGUCCAAAUGACCCUGGAAACUAUCAGGACAAUGGGACCAAGAGGCUUUGGGAAGCUAGGGAGGCCCCAUCACUCCACAUGCCCGGAAUUCCCUCCCCCUGCCAUGAGACACAGGGACAGCAGCGGUUUCCUUCAGGACGUCCCUCGGUAGCUCUUUCUUCCUUUGCUCUCAGGAAGACAACUGUGCUUAGCUUCAGGAUCCAGGCCCUUUACUUGAAAGCAGCUACUGUGAAGACAGUGUUAAUGGGGCUUUUAGAUUAUGUCCUGGCUCAAAGCCUCCCUUUAAUAACCGGCUCCGCUCUUGGCCAGUCUUGGCUGAAUUGAGAAACAUCAGCUGUGCGACGAGAAAUGGAAAGCUCGUUACUUGAUACUCGGUGCAGCCUGCGCCAAAACCUUCACUCAUUCAUUUUAUCGCCGCAGCGUCUUCCCAUACCGAAACCUGUGUCACAGCAGAAGCUGCAAACUUCGAGGGCUGGGGGCCCCGGAGUUUUCCACCACCCCCUCGUUUUGACGGAAACUUGCUGGUGCGAACACACAACUCUUGAGAUGCCUCUCCAUCCCAGACGAGCCCAGACAGGCAUCCAAGCAGCAAAUGAGACACAAUCCCAGACAGAGCUGGCAGCCUUCAGAGAACAUCUCUCCUUUCUUAUCAGCAGAGAAAUGAAGAGUCUUCAUGGUGGAGGACAUGGAGCUCACUUGCAUGGACAUUCAGUGUCCAGCCAGGCUGUGAAUAAGAAAGGGUUCCUCCCUAUCUGGGAAACUCGCAGGGAUGUUUCCAGAAUCUAAGAUGAUGGAAAAGCCUUUGCAAGAAACCCACAUUCCUAUAACAGAGGCAUCGAAGGCACGGGUAGAGGGUCCUCUGGCUAUGAGUCCUGAGAGACAGCAAGCCUCACCCUCUCCCGAGCUAGUUUCUGGGAAGAUACUGAAAAUCCGACCUUGCCUUGCCGCCGCCGACCACCCAGCCCGUCAGCACAUACUUGGCACGUAUGUGUUCUUCCCGAGCUUCUUCCAAACCAGAGUUGCUGCCCUCACAACCUGCCAAGCCCUUGCUUCCAGAAAUUUCUUCCUUACCCCUUUUGUGGCUAUGAAACUGAAAUGUUCCAAGUGGGGAAGGAUCUCAAAACUGCUCAGUCAUCAAGCAUACCAGCUGGCCAAAGGCGAGGCUGGGUGUGGAAGUACUUCCCAGAUCCUCAGACCUGGGGAGAAGGGGACAGUGAACGCCAAUUCCAGUCCUGACCACACGCAAAAAGCCUUUACAAAGCUUAAAUCUUCAGUUACUAGAUUUUGUCUUGUUCACAGACCUUUUGGCCCCGCCCUCUUUGCACUCCAGUCCUUGGCCAGAGCUGAACCCCCACACAGAGCUUUCUCCAUUCUUACUCAGUCAAUAGUCAUGUGUGUUAUCAAGAGGCCUGUCUAGGCCCAUGGAGACCUGACAUCGGUGCUGGGACUUCAAACUGUGUUGGCAAUAUAGGGAUUCCUUGGGCCAACCUUCGAGGACUUUCUCAAAACGAUAUCAGCUCUUGGGAGCAGUCAUAACCAUCCAGUGACCAGACUCUCUAGGCCUUCUUCCAGUCAGCCAUUGAAGCUUACACUCAACUCCCGACCUGAAACUGCAUUGAUCGCCUGGGAAGGAGUGUGAGGUGAGAAUUGGAGGGACAAAGUCACCUUUGUGGGUGUGUAGGGGAUGGAGUCAGGGUGUUGGGAUGACUCAUUUGUAUGAGGAAGAAUUCUAGGUGUUGCUAGAUGUGACCUUACCAGGGAUAGGAAAUUUAACCAGGUUACUGGCUUCCUGAUUUCCCCUGCUGGGGCAAAGGUGGAUGUGUAGGAUUAUGUGCACCAGGAUAUGCAGGCCCCAGGCAGGGGAGGGAGUGGCCCCACUCUUAUCUCUCCCAAGAUGAGAUUUCUGGAGUUGGACAUGACUCUACCGCACUCACACGGCGACUGACUCCUUCCAGUUCCACAGUUCCCUGGGCCCACAAGCCGUAAAGCGUGUAACUAGUUAUCACAACUAACCAUAUUAGCAACGUUGACAUGUUGCACCUCACUGUGAGAUUGUGGGUAGAAUUACAUGUUUCAUAUGAAAGACUGUGUCAGGGCAAACUUUGUUUAAACACCCUCCAUGCCCUCCAUCGUCCCAUGCUUCAGACUGAGUAACUUGUUUAUCUUAGAAAGAGACAGUCACCAGACCAUUUCGAGGACCACAAAAUAUUUUUUAAUUGUGGUAAAUUUUAAUUGGGACCUACAUUUUUGUCUCUCCAUAGUUGAUAGGUGAAAACUGAAGGUUACUGGAGUAUUUGUUCAUACACAGAUAUGUACACAAACAUAGUCAUCAUACAUGUACAUACUAUAGAAACACACAUGUGAUUCCUCUGUCAUAUCCUGGACCAAGGUGAAAAGAACCAAGAAAUGGCCUUGACAAUGAGUAAGGCCAGAAAUGAUGGAUGAAGAGAAUCAGACCUCUGUAGCUGAGAGCUGAAAUGAUGGAUGAAAAGAAUCAGACCUCUGUAGCUGAGAGCUGAAAUGAUGGAUGAAAAGAAUCAGACCUCUGUAGCUGAGAGCUGAAAUGAUGGAUGAACAGAAUCAGACCUCUGUAGCUGAGAGCUGAUUAUCAUGUGCCUGAAGCAGCUCUCUAAGGCCAGAAAGAACCUGCUGCCAGUGAGGAAUGCACAUCUGUGAUGGAUCACCCAGAGCUAACAGGAGCUCAUCCUGCCACGAUCCAGAGUCAAGAAGCCUUUUGUAGGCUAUCGGGCAACAUACUCAAGGUGGGCAUCAGCCUUCCACUAGAGGCUGUUCUGGCCUCAAGUAACCAGUCUUUUUUUUUUUUUUUCCUUUUCUUUUUUUCAGAGCUGGGGACCGAACCCAGGGCCUUGCACUUGCUAGGCAAGCGCUCUACCACUGAGCCAAAUCUCCAACCCCUCAAGUAACCAGUCUUAAAAAGAAGUCACUAAAGGAUUGAAAUGGCCCUAAGUAAGAUAUGUGGGUUCCAGAAUAAAGCUCAAGGGUUGAGGGGUACAGGCCCCACCCUACCCCACCAUCUGGCAUCCUAUAACUGUCUGCACACCAUCAAGGCCGAAAAGUCAGUCAACACCAACAGACCUAGACAGGAGGCAGAACUAGCAGACAAAGAAACAAAGGCUCAUCUGACACUUUUACCUCAGUUCUGGGAGAUGCAGGGAGGUGCAGGCUGUUAAGAGGAGACGUGCAAGAUGUCCACAUGACCUACACUGAACUUCUACAUAUAAAAAUACAAAGUCUUGGACUGGAGAGAUGGUUCAGUGGUUAAGAGCGCUGACUGCUCUUCCAGAGGUCCUGAGUUCAAUUCCCAGCAACCACAUGGUGGCUCACAACCAUCUGUAAUGAGAUCUGAUGCCCUCUUCUGGUGUGCAUGAAGACAGGGACCGUGUACUCAUACAAAUAAAAUAAAUUAAUUAAUUUAAAAAAAUACAAAGUCUUUAAGACACGUGCCAGAGAAGGUGAACAGAAUAGAGACAGUUCAGGGCAGGGAACGUACCUCAGUGGCGGCAAACUCACCGACACCUGUGAGGCCUGGGUUCUCUCUCCAGUCCUGGGAAGACAGUGUCAAAGAAAAGAUUAGUGAACUUGAAGACACACCAGUGGAAAGUAUCAAAAGAAAAACAGGAGAAAGGGCUGUGGGAAAAGGGCAGGAAGCAGAAGGCUGUGGGACGGCUUUAGUGGCUGAGGGGAUGCAGCUGUAGUCCCAGAAAGACGACAAAGCAAAACAAACAAACAAGCAACCUCCCCAACCUGAAGUGAGUAUUUAAAAGUGUCUGCAUUCUACAACGAACUCAUUUAUAAAUUCAUAGUAAUCCUGAUUAAGUUCACACACACACAAAUUCCCAUAGUGGGAAUGGUCAGGUUUAAUAUGUAUAGAAAUGUAAAAGGCCUACUCUAUACAUAAAUAACAAAAAAAAAAAUACUUCGCAAAAGCACAAUGUUGGAAGAUUCACGCCACCUAAUUUCAAGACAUAAUUGUACACCAAUCAGGCAGUGUGGUGUUUACAUAAGGUAGAUAUACCCAAAAGUGAAGCAUAAAAACCCACAUGCAGACCUACAUAUGAACCUCUGACAGACUUUUGAUAAAGAAGAAGGCUCUCCCCAGGUCACGUGAGAGCAAUCAAACAGCUACAGGUAAAUAGCAGUGAGAAACAUCAUGCUUACCUCACACCAUGCAAGAAGAUUUGAAACAGAUGGCAGCCCCAACAAAAGAACUAACACCGUGAGAUCCAUGGAAGGCAGUAUCAGUUAAAGUCUGACUGACUCUGGGGUUGGGGAGGAUUCCUGAAACACAGCACACAGACCGUGAACCAUUUUUAUGAAGAACUUAGACAUCGCCAACAGUUAACAUGUUUGCUCACCGAAAGAUUUCUUCAUGGAAGCAAAGGAGGCAAUCCGCCAAUUCAGGAGAAAAAAAUGUAAGACAUCAGACUUCUACUUAGAAAUCCUUCCUUCCUUAGAACCCUUGGGAUUCGGUAAUGAGAAGAGAACCUAGCUUCAAAUGACAACAGGUUGGAACCAACAUGUCACUAAAGAAACACCAGACGCACAGCAAGAUACGAACCGUGCUAGUCAUCAGGGAGACAGAAGCUGAAAUUGCAACCGGCUGUCACUCCACCAGAAUGACCAAAAGUCAAGUGUCCACACGGAGCUUUAAUGACCGUGUAAGUGAGGACUGACCCUCCCAUGACACUCAGGUUGGGGGACGGUAAGGUGCAGACGCUUUGAGCCGUGGCCGAGCCAUUUCCCUGGAAGUUCCAUUUUUCCACUUAGACCAGCUACCUAUUUCAUCCGAAGAGAGAUGAAAACUCAUUUCCACACAGAGACUCUUCCGAGGAUGUUCAUUACAGUUUUACCUGGAAUAAUCCCAAACUGGAACUGAGCCGAGCGCCCAUCAACAGUCAAAUGGGCGAGCGUUGCGGAAGAGUCACGUAAUAGAAUAUGACUCAAAAGGAACAACGCUGGGUGCGUGCAGCAGCUCGGCGAACGCCGAUAUAAUUACGCUGCCGAGAGAGAAGCCAGAUCAAAAAGGUAUGUCCUCAGUCCUUCCAGUUAUUAAAGAUUCUAGAAAACUCAAAUGCAUCUUUAGAGACGGGAACCAGAUGAUCAUCUGCCUGGGGGAUAGUGAGCUGGGAGGAAAUUUAUUGACGAGAGCCUGAGAGAACUUUGAGAAAUAAAGAGUGUAAUUGUCUUUUU